UCCUAAACAAUAGAAUAUGUUGACAUGAGGAGGGACAUAUUUACUAGUUAUAUCAUCGGCAAUCGCCUGAAUCUCAAGACGUUCUUCGAACCAAUCAUAGACUUUAUUGAGAUAGGUAAACCAAAGGAACUCCCCCUCUGAGAACCGUAUAUGAGAAUUUCAUCUCGUACGGCUCAAACAGAAAAACCCAAUACUGGUUGUAACGGAAACGGAUAUGUUAAAUAAUAAAAAGUUUUAAACUUCUUAAUUUAAUCCUAUUAUUCCAAAUCUUAUUUGAAGAUAAGAAAAAUAUAUAAAUCCUUAAAUUGAUCUGUGCAGGGUUAUAAUGCCAAAAGGCAGGAUCAUCAUUAAAACCAUCAUACUUGCCGACCAUCGAUGAACAGAUCGGAUUAACCAACCAAAGUUAGCCUCAGUCAUUAUAUAUUGAACCGAAGCACAAAAGCCUCAGUAACGGUCGGACGAUAAUAAAAGGUCAUAGCAAAUCCCGUUGCUACUUGGACUAAAAAGCAAGUAAGUGUAAUUCCUCCUAAACAAUAGAAUAUGUUGACAUGAGGAGGGACAUAUUUACUAGUUAUAUCAUCGGCAAUCGCCUGAAUCUCAAGAUGUUCUUCGAACCAAUCAUAGACUUUAUUGAGAUAGGUAAACCAAAGGAACUCCCCCUCUGAGAACCGUAUAUGAGAAUUUCAUCUCGUACGGCUCAAACAGAAAAACCCAAUACUGGUUGUAACGGAAACGGAUAUGUUAAAUAAUAAAAAGUUUUAAACUUCUUAAUUUAAUCCUAUUAUUCCAAAUCUUAUUUGAAGAUAAGAAAAUAUAUAAAUCCUUAAAUUGAUCUGUGCAGGGUUAUAAUGCCAAAAUCUCAAGUCGGCGCACUCGUCUUUCUUUAUCUUGAUCUUUACAGGCCUCUUGAAUAUUCUAUUUACUUCAUUUUUUCUUUGAUUUUUUUGUAGAAUGCGACUUUUUUAGUGCCGUCUUCUUUAUUAUUAGUAUUGAUAAGAAUUCUCUUGUUAAGACCCUAUGAACAAUUAAAAAAAACCUCAGAUUCAUACCAGAACCACAAUGAUUCAAAAAAAACCUUUAAUGUCCAAAAAUUCCCUGAGUAAGAACUGCUGGAUUAUCACUUAUUCAAGAAAUAGAUAGGAUAGAAUGAAAAAAGAAAUCAAAAGACAUUUUUUUGCUUUGAUAAAAAAAAAGACAAAUAGUGGCAAUUUUAUUUGAAAGAAUCAAAAUUUUUU
rnacentral:lncRNA from 1 species